ensembl:lncRNA
GGGAACAUGAGAGUUUUACACGAUUUUUCUUUUUUUUUGUAUCAGUUUCUGUGAGAACAUUAGUAUGACAGAAUUCGAAACUUGAGGGAAGAAGAAGGAAUGACAGAGAUACAGCAAAACCCAUUUCCCACAGAUGUUGAAGAGGGUUCCAAUUUAUUAAUGGUAAUUUUUACUGUACUACUACUUUCAUAAACGGUGCCUUUAAAAGACUUAAUAUUUCACACAUGUGGUUUCCUUGACUGAUGAGACCAGACAAGACCUGAAUGGAAACACAGCCUUGACUGAUUUGAUAUUUGUUCCCACUAAGUGUUCUUUUU